AGCCCAGAGCCUGAAUCAGUGUGUGUGUUAGUGGAAGCGUCUGGAAAGGCGUGCGAUACAGGGUGACAGCCCCGUACACAAAAAUGCACAUACUGUGAGCUCGAUGAGUAGGGCGGGACACGUGGUAUCCUGUCUGAAUAUGGGGGGACCAUCCUCCAAGGCUAAAUACUCCUGACUGACCGAUAGUGAACCAGUACCGUGAGGGAAAGGCGAAAAGAACCCCGGCGAGGGGAGUGAAAAAGAACCUGAAACCGUGUACGUACAAGCAGUGGGAGCCUCUUAAUGGGGUGACUGCGUACCUUUUGUAUAAUGGGUCAGCGACUUAUAUUCUGUAGCAAGGUUAACCGAAUAGGGGAGCCGAAGGGAAACCGAGUCUUAACUGGGCGUUAAGUUGCAGGGUAUAGACCCGAAACCCGGUGAUCUAGCCAUGGGCAGGUUGAAGGUUGGGUAACACUAACUGGAGGACCGAACCGACUAAUGUUGAAAAAUUAGCGGAUGACUUGUGGCUGGGGGUGAAAGGCCAAUCAAACCGGGAGAUAGCUGGUUCUCCCCGAAAGCUAUUUAGGUAGCGCCUCGUGAAUUCAUCUCCGGGGGUAGAGCACUGUUUCGGCAAGGGGGUCAUCCCGACUUACCAACCCGAUGCAAACUGCGAAUACCGGAGAAUGUUAUCACGGGAGACACACGGCGGGUGCUAACGUCCGUCGUGAAGAGGGAAACAACCCAGACCGCCAGCUAAGGUCCCAAAGUCAUGGUUAAGUGGGAAACGAUGUGGGAAGGCCCAGACAGCCAGGAUGUUGGCUUAGAAGCAGCCAUCAUUUAAAGAAAGCGUAAUAGCUCACUGGUCGAGUCGGCCUGCGCGGAAGAUGUAACGGGGCUAAACCAUGCACCGAAGCUGCGGCAGCGACACUAUGUGUUGUUGGGUAGGGGAGCGUUCUGUAAGCCUG
rnacentral:rRNA from 1 species